AAAUUGGGGACGUUUGGGCUGUUUUGUACAAUUUAUCCCUUCUGAGGUCGUCUGAACGGUGGAAAUGGAGGAUUUGGAGAGUGUAUGAAUGUAGGGAUGUGUGUGCACACGUAUGCACGUAGUAUGGAGCGUUACAUGUGAGAUAUCCAUGAAAAUGCAUGAAAUAGCCCCAAAAAGAGGCGCACAGAAGAGGUGACUGUGAAGGAAGGGCCACAGUGGUGGAUGGUCUGAACUGCUGGGCAGAGAAGCUGAAGGAUUUUCUAUGGCUUCCGGUGCUCAGAGCCUUUGGAAGCACUGAGACGGUUCGGAGGAUGGGAUGGUUUGUUGAGUUUUGGGGGGGCUUCGAGCUUUUAAACCAACGGAGAUCUGCAGCACUGCGUCCAAAUCUGGAGCCCCCAAUAGGAGAAAGACAGCGGAGGGUCCCUUCUAUUCACAGGAGGGCCACAGAGGUGAUCGGAGGGCUGCAGCACCUCCCAUACAGAGACAGGCUGAGGGAGAUGGGGUAUUGAGCCUGGAGAAGGGAACAGAAGGCUGCGGGGUGACCUCAGUGCAGCCUUCCGGGACCUUAAAGGGGAGCCCCCAAACAGGAGGGGAGGCGACUCUUGGAAGGGCAGAUAACAGCAGGAUGAGGGGACGUGGUUUGGAGUUGAAGGAGGGCAGAUGGAGGUUGGAUGUGAGGGGGAACAGCUGCCCGGAGAGGCUGUGGAUGCCCCGUCCGUCCCUGGAGGUGUUGAAGGCCACGUUGGAUGGGGUAUCCAAUGGGAUGGCCUUAAAUGUGGACGUGGUCUUUUGGGGUCCCUUCCAUCCCAACCAUUCUAUGAUCCUGAGAGAUUAAAGCCACAGUGGAUGUCGGUGGCCCUGCCUGUUUUGGGGGGGGUUGGAGCCUUUGGGGUCCCUUCCAACCCAACCAUUUUGUGACCCUGUGAGAUUAAAGCCACAGCGGAGGUGGUGGCCCUGCCUGUUUUGGGGGGGUUGGAUCCUCGUGAUCUUUUGGGGUCCCUUCCAACCCAACCAUUCUGUGACCCUGUGAGAUAAAGCCACAGUGGAUGUGGUGGCCCUGCCUGUGGUGGUGGGGGUUGGUUGAAGCCUUGUGAUGUUUUGGGGUCCCUUCCAACCCAACCAUUCUGUGACCCUGUGAGAUAAAGCCACAGUGGAUGUUGGUGGCCCUGCCUGUUUUGGGGGGGGGGGGGGGUUGGAGCCUUUGGGGUCCCUUCCAACCCAACCAUUCUGUAACCCUGUGAGAUUAAAGCCACAGUGGAUGUUGGUGGCCCUGCCUGUUUUGGGGGGAGUUGGAGCCUCGUGAUCUUUUGGGGUCCCUUCCAACCCAACCAUUCUGUGACCCUAUGAGAUUAAAGCCACAGUGGAUGUUGGUGGCCCUGCCUGUUUUGGGGGGGCUUGGAGCCUUUGGGGUCCCUUCCAACCCAACCAUUUUGUGACCCUGUGAGAUUAAAGCCACAGUGGAUGUUGGUGGCCCUGCCUGUUUUGGGGGGGGGGUUGGAUCCUCGUGAUCUUCUGGGGUCCCUUCCAACCCAACCAUUCUUUGACCCUGUGAGAUAAAGCCACAGUGGAUGUUGGUGGCCCUGCCUGUUUUGGGGGGGGUUGGAGCCUUUGGGGUCCCUUCUAACCCAACCAUUCUGUGACCCUGAGAGGUAAAGCCACAGUGGAUGUUGGUGGCCCUGCCUGUUUUGGGGGGGGUUGGAGCCUUUGGGGUCCCUUCCAACCCAACCAUUCUGUGACCCUGUGAGAUUAAAGCCAGGAAGGGGGCAGGUGAGACUUAAGUUUAAAACGUGAGCCGGAAACUGAAGUUUGCAACAGAGCGGGUUGAAAAAGGAAGCAUUUGUGGAUGGGGCGGGGGGGUGGAAAUGCAUUAAAGGGAACGUCCUGAUGUGUGAUAUGGUUUUUUUCCCCCCCCAGCCAGCAGCUAUGGGCAGGAGCAGGCCCCGCUGAGCAGCUCAGGAGGAUACCAGGAGCAGAGCUAUGGAGGGCAGCAGGAGCGCAGCCGCGGGCGCGGAGGGUACGGCCGGGGCGGCUACGAGCGCGGUGGCCGUGGUAGCCGGGGAGGCCGUGGAGGCAACAUGGGGUAGGUGUGGGCCAGCAAACGGGGCCAAAAAGGGAGAAAAUGGGCAAAAGGAGGAGGGGGGGGGAAGCCCUGUGGGGUGUGGGGGCUUCCGGAGGUGGUGAAAUGGGGGAGAACGCCCCGAAAAUGAGGGAGAGAGACAUCCCCCCCCACCCCCCCCCCGGUUCUCCAAGAGCGGUGGUUGGAGUUGGGGGGAAAUGGUUUAAAAAAGAGAGAGUGGUGGAUGAUGGAAGCGUGGGGAGAAAAGGGGUGGUGGGGGAUGUCAGAGGGUGGGGGCUGAUAGUGCUGUGAGGAGGGGAGAAAUGGGGAAUAAUGCCCUACUGGGGGGAAAGCUCUGGAUAUAGCGGGGCUUUCCUGAGGUGGAAAUGGGGUUAAAUGGGGGAAAAAAAAAAAAGAAUUGUGGUAUGAAGGAAAAUGAUUUGGUGGGGAACCCUCUGGGGAGUGGGGGACUCCAGAGGGGGAAAGUGGGGGGAGAAAUGGGGGAAAAUGCCCCCCCCCCCAAAAAAAAUGAGGGAGAGACACCCCGAUUAGCGGUGCUUUGAAUGGUCCAAAAAUGGGAGAAACGGUGGAAAAAAGAAAUGAUGAUAAUGUUAAAUAUAAGGGAGAGAGGUGGUGAGGAACCCCCUGGGAAUGGGGGCGUAUGGUGGGGGAAAUGCCCCAAAAAUGACGGAGGGAAACCCCUGGGGGUGGGGGCUUCUGUGGCUGAAAAUGGGGGGAAAACGGUCAAAAGAAAAAGAAAAAAGGGGGGGGGAGGGGUACACAAAAAUAACCAAAAGCACAGAGAGGUGGUGGGGAACCCCCCAGGAGUGGGGGCUGUGGUCAAAAAACGGGGGAAAAUGGUAAAAAAUGAAACUGCAGAAUUGAGGGCAGAGGUUGAUGGGAGGGGUCCUCCCGAUAGCAAAUGGGUGAAUUGACCAAAAGGAGCGAAAAUGCACCCAAAAAGGUUCAGUGGGGGCACAUGGAGCUGUGCGAAGUGGUAAGAGCCCCCCAAAAAUGGGGAGAAAAAGGUGUUUUUAGGGACAGACACCAACGUUGGGUGUGAAGGUGAUGCGUGGCACAGCCGCGGUGGUAAAAAACACGAUGGAAAAUAAGGAGGAAUGGAGGAAAAAAGGAGAAGAAUGGGAUAGGAGUUGGGAAGGGGAAGUGGGAGGAAAUGGGAAGGAAGAAAGGAGGUGGGAAAAAAUGAGGAAACGUGAGAAAAAUAUAUUAAAAAAAUGAGGAAAUAGGAGGGAAGAUGAGGUGUGGAAAAGGAGGAGUGGGAAGAUGAGGAAGGGUGAGGGGGAAAAGGAAAAUGGGGGAAGGAAAGGAAACAGGAAAUUGAAU
rnacentral:lncRNA from 1 species